rnacentral:rRNA from 1 species
AAAUAUUGAAUGCAGAACACAUUGAACAUCGACAUCUUGAACGCACAUGGCGGCCUCGGGUCCGUCCCGAGGCCACGCCCGUCUGAGGGUCGGCAAGUCAGAUACGUAUUCGCUUCCUUUCGUGGCAUCAGGCUCCGUUCGGAAGGCAUCCGUCCUAUGUGGCUCCUUUCUGGCUCUGAUAAAGGCAGACGAGGCGGCAGCCGGACGGGUAGGGGCCGUGGAGGCGCAUUGGGUUUUCGCGGAUCUCUGUGAUCCCCGUGGCUCUAAGUGCACGCUGCGCUGUCUGUCCGUCCCACUCGUAAGUCGUGCUCGGACGAGCGAGUGGGUAGGACGUUUCUCGUUCUCUUAACGACGCCGCCGCCGACGUGCUGGACUCGGAUUGAUCGGAUAUCAUCGAGCCGCCGGCGAGCUGCAGGUGUCGGAACAGUGAGGGGGAAAACAAAUAACGUUUGUGGCGGCGCCCAGUUCAGGCAGUGAGACCAAGCACGCGCCUUGUGUCGUUACUAGCAUAUCCGACCUCAGAUCGGACGAGAUUACCCGCUGAAUUUAAGCAUAUAACUAAGCGGAGGAAAAGAAACUAACAAGGAUUCCCUUAGUAACGGCGAGUGAAGCGGGAAUAGCCCAGCACCGAAUCCCUCAGUGUCAUGCUGACGGGAACUGUGGUGUGUGGGACGCCACCAGUCGCAUCAGAGGGCGCCGAAGUCCUCCUGAUCGGGGCUUCACCCAGAGCGGGUGUAAGGCCUUUGCAGGUGCCUCUCUGUGCGGCCGCGAGCGUCUCAGGAGUCGGGUUGUUUGGGAAUGCAGCCCAAAGCGGGUGGUAAACUCCAUCUAAGGCUAAAUACUGGCACGAGUCCGAUAGCGGACAUCG